rnacentral:SRP_RNA from 1 species
GCCGGGUGUGGUGGCGCAUGCCUGUAAUCCCAGUUCCUUAGGAGGCUGAGGCAGGAGAAUUGCUUAAACCCAGGAGGCAGGGGUUGCAGUGAGCUAAGAUCGUGCCACUGCACUCCAGCCUGGGCAAUUAGAGCGAGAUUCUGUCUCAA